rnacentral:rRNA from 1 species
AGUGAACGCUGGCGGUAGGCCUAACACAUGCAAGUCGAACGGCAGCACAGUAAGAGCUUGCUCUUACGGGUGGCGAGUGGCGGACGGGUGAGGAAUACAUCGGAAUCUACUUUUUCGUGGGGGAUAACGUAGGGAAACUUACGCUAAUACCGCAUACGACCUACGGGUGAAAGCAGGGGAUCUUCGGACCUUGCGCGAUUGUAUGAGCCGAUGUCGGAUUAGCUAGUUGGCGGGGUAAAGGCCCACCAAGGCGACGAUCCGUAGCUGGUCUGAGAGGGUGAUCAGCCACACUGGAACUGAGACACGGUCCAGACUCCUACGGGAGGCAGCAGUGGGGAAUAUUCGGCAAUGGGCGAAAGCCUGAUCCAGCCAUACCGCGUGAGUGAUGAAGGCCUUCGGGUUGUAAAGCCCUUUUGUUGGGAAAGAAAAGCAGCAGGUUAAUCCCCCGCUGUUCUGACGGUACCCAAAGAAUAAGCACCGGCUAACUUCGUG